AUAAUAGACGGUGUGUGUGCUGGAGUGUGGAUGCUCCUUUCAGCUUGUUGCUCUGGAUCAAAACAACUUGACCCGCGGACCAUCUCCCGUCGGGCACCGUCGGUCCAAGCAGAGAGUGUCCGGCAGCUAAUAUGGCCGUGCGCAUCAUACGUGGGAUGGAGGACCUGGUGGCGUCGAGCAGCCAGCUCAUCUGGAGCCUGGCACAUCAGACCCUGAGGAGGUGGUGCCAUCGUGGGCUGAUGCCCGGCAGACGCUUCCUUGAAGCCUGGUUUAGGAUUGGAAAGUGCUACCAGAUGACAGAAGGUCGUCUGUGCCAGGUCCACCUCCUUGAUGGCAGAAAUCUGGAGCUGCUGGUUCAGCCCAAGUUGUUGUCCCGCGAGCUGUUAGAUUUGGUGGCGUCACACUUUAAUCUGAAGGAGAAAGAAUAUUUUGGAUUGUGUUUCAUAGAUGACACUGGUCAGAAUAACUGGCUCCAGCUGGAUCGUAAAGUCCUUGAUCAUGACUUCUCUAAGACCUUGGGGCCUUUGGAUCUCAAGUUCCUUGUGAGGUUUUAUAUUGAGAAGAUCACCUACUUGAAAGAGAACACGACAGUGGAGCUGUUUUACCUGAACGCUAAAUCUUUAGUGUUUAAUGAGACCAUCGAAGUGGAGAGUGGACAUGUUUUCAAGUUAGCCGCAUUCGCACUGCAGGAAGCCAAGGGAGAUUACACCAGUGGUGUAACUGCCAGAUCAGACCUAAAGGAGCUCCCGGUUUUUCCCAUCAGAGUUUUAAGAGAGCAUCCGUCUCUCAAUUACUGUGAGGACAAAGUGAUCGAACAUUACAAGAAACUAAAAGGACUGACCAGAGGGCAAACCAUUGUGCAGUAUCUUGCUCUGGUGGAGUCACUGCCGACAUAUGGAGUCCAUUAUUACCCAGUGAAGGACAAGCAGGGAAUACCGUGGUGGCUGGGAGUCAGCUACAAAGGCAUUGGUCAGUACGAUUUGCAGGAUAAGCUGAAACCAAGAAAGUUGUUUCAUUGGAAGCAGUUGGAGAAUUUGUAUUUCCGUGAGAAGAAAUUUGCAGUGGAAGUGAACGACCCACACAGAAAAGCAGUAACCAAACGAACUUUCGGACAGACUGGCCUGGUUAUUCACACAUGGUAUGCCAGCCAUUCUCUGAUUAAAACCAUCUGGGCAAUGGCAAUCAGCCAGCACCAGUUCUACCUGGACAGAAAGCAAAGCAAGCUAAAGAUGACCACAACCAGGAGUUCAGGAGACAUUGCCAUGGACCUCACAGAGAUUGGCACCUCAAGAAUCAGCAAACUCUCCAGCAUUGGGAGCAGAGAUCAGCUGAUCAUGGCCAGCAAUGGAAGCCUCAUCUCAGCUGGGUCUGCUGACUCAGUGUCAGAAGUUAGUGAGGAACAAAAAAAAGAGAAGAUUGCUGAGUUGAAACAGAAAGAAAAGAAACUUCAAGAUACACUAACUCAGAAACUUGAAGAACUAAAAAGGAUUUGCUUGAGAGAAGCUGAGCUUACAGGGAGUUUGCCUGAAGACUAUCCGCUGGCUCCGGGUGAGAAGGCUCCCCAAGUGCGACGACGCGUUGGAACAGCCUUCAAGCUAGACGAGCCUUUCCCCUACGAUGAGGAUCCCCAUAUGAGAAAUCUGGAGGGCCAGUAUGCUUUGCAGCAAAAGUUUGUGGAAGCUGCACACAAGUUGGCCUGUGAGGGCGACCUCUACAAAACAGUGAAGAAAAAGAGAAGAAACAACUAUGUGGACGCAGUAAGGAAGCUGAAGGAGAUUGAAAACGAGAUCAACAACUACAGCAUAACAAAAGGAAAGAAACCCACUCAGCGAGUGUCACUAAUCUUAGAUGAUGCCAACCCUUCAGACAUCAGUUCUCUGUCUGACAGUCUCACUCUGGACGAUGAUGACGAGGUUGUUUCCCAGAAGCAUCAGUCCAGAUCGGUGCAGUAUUCUCCACACCAUGUAGAAACUCUGGACAUUCACUACAAAGACAGACGGGUCCCUGCCAAUGAACAAAUUACUGAUGGCAGAAUAAUGAAGGGCCAGCCUCAUGAAACGAUCCACUACAGUCAUCAUAAUGCCUUCACAAGCCAUACAAGUCCAUUUAAAUCAGCUUCCAGGCAGCCGUGGGACGCCCGCAGCAUGCCUCCUACUCCCUGCCUUCCCCGCAAUGCUCACAGCAGCACUCAGCUCAAAUCUGAGGAUGUCCCACAACAUUUCCGCCAGCGUAGUGGGAGUCUGGAGUCCCACUCUCAGUUCUUAACGGAGCCUGAGCCCCACAAGCAAGCAUUCGCCUUCUCCACAGCCCGACGCAGCAACAGCACUGAGAUCCUGGAUGACGGCUCUUCUUACACCAGCCAUUCCAGUGUGGAGUACGCCGUCCCCAUGGGCGUCCACCACACCCCCAGACAUAGAGUACGCGGUCGCAACAGGAAAGACAUGUACGCCAAUGCGGGCAGCAUGCCCAAUCUGGCUCAACCAGACACCCACUGCUACGCCGGCUACCAGCCUUCUGCCAGGCACACCACAGCCUACUGUGUCAUGGGAUACCCCAGCUACGUAGAACCAGAGGCCUACUCCAACGGAGCCUACAUGUACGAGGGCGAGAUAGAGGGACACUAUAACGUCAAUCCUUCCUACCACCCAACUCAAAGAACGUAUCACAGCCAAAACAUGCAAGGUCAGUACUAUAAUGACGAGGUCGACGGCAUGACACAAAACCUGUACGCUACAUUACGGACAGCCCGGAACCGUCCACAGCGGAGUAACGAACAAGUCAGCAGGAACAUCCCGAAGGCUUCAGUGGCUGACCAAUUAAUAGACUGGUACCAGCGCAAGCAGACCACAUACAACUACGGCAGAGGCUCCCAGCAGAGCUUGGCGUUUAAGACCAUGCCUGCACCCUACAGCCACAACAACAGAAACAUCUCCUUCUCAUCAAUGUCCUCGGUGUCCUCCACGUCUAACUGGCACAGCCACAUGAGUGGUGGUACGUUGGACUACGACAUGCCCUCGCAUGCGCUUCAGUCGUACUCGUACAGCACAACCCCCUACAGCCACUCCGCCUACAGCAGAUUUGCUGCCCACCAGGGUUUAACGGGCCUCUGCCACAGCCCUGAUGACCAGGGACGUCAUGUCUGUGUCUCUGCUAGUUCUUACUCCUCAGCUCCUUCCUCCACCUCCUCCUUUCCUUCCUCCUCCUACUCCCCUGGCUGCCGGAUCAGGCAGGUGGCCUCCAGCCCUGCACAGCCACAGUCUUUCACAGGGCACAGGCUCAGUAAGGUGCCUUUUGCAAAAGAUUUCUCCCAGAGUUUGAGUCGCGGAGCUGUGAUAGGAUGCCGUGCCCUGCAGGGCUUUUAGAAAGGUGUGGUGCUGUUGCCUAUGGUUCUGACCAGGAAUAUUAACCCUUUCCCUCCAUUUAUCAAGUCAAAGCUCAAAGAACAAAGGAUCCCACAUAGACGUCAACCAAGUGGACUCUCAAAUCAGCAACCAAAUGCACACACGCUUGGACCCAGAGGACCAGAUACACUGGCACGAAGACUCUAAACCAGGAACAAUAGUGUAGCUGUGUCUGUCAUUGUGCUGUGAGAAUUGCACACCUUGACGAGUCGUCAUUGUGCCUUAGACUGCACUUACCUGUUUUUCUGUAGAGAGGGAUCCAAAGAAUGAAGGAACGUACUGUGAAAACCAGUGCAAAAACAAAAUGAAGUCUUCUUACUGUCCGUUCACAUAAACGCAGUUACUAAACCGAACCACAUCCCUCAUUUGUAUACAGUAAGUCAUGACUAAAGUCCACUGGAUCGUCUUUGUGGUAACUGAUGCACCAGGACCUGCUGUGUACAGUGUUGAAUAGUCAAAGGGAAUGCAGACCACUACUCCAGUGUAAUUCUGCAAAGACACACAUACUAAGGAAUAGGACAAGUCUCUGUAAGAUGAUACUGAGCUGUAAUGAACAAUGAUUCACCCUCCUGCUACACUGUAACCAUGAAGGAUCAGAUAAGAAACAUUGUCAAAAUGAAGGACUGGACUCCAAGGAGGUGGCUACUUCCUGGAACAUUCUGCAGUCACCAGGUCCAGUUGUAUUAUUGCUUCAAACUACUGUUUUACUUUGUGUUGUUUUUAUCAUAUACAAAGUAUUCUGUCUCACUGUCAGUAGUUGCUAUACAACUGAGCCAAAUACUUCUGUGUCUCACCUCUUUGAGUAUUACCCGAUCACUAAUUUUGAUAUUACUGCCACAGCUGAGAAAGAAAGUUUUUUUAUUUAACAUGGGUAUUUCAUCCAUGCUGGAAAUCAUGGACUGGUGCUCCCAAUUUCUUUCAGAGAAUGAAGCUGUAUGUAAAUGUUGGUAUUGUAAAUAAACUUUUUCUGUCUUUUUCUUUUGUAUUUGAAAGGCAUGUAAUAUAUAGUAAACAAUUGCUGUUAAGCUGGUUCUUAGAAAUUUGUAUAAAUGCAUUUGUUUGAAUAAAAAAACUGCAUUUGAA